GGACGGGUGAGUAACACGUAGGUAACCUGCCCAGAAGCGGGGGACAACAUUUGGAAACAGAUGCUAAUACCGCAUAACAACGUUGUUCGCAUGAACAACGCUUAAAAGAUGGCUUCUCGCUAUCACUUCUGGAUGGACCUGCGGUGCAUUAGCUUGUUGGUGGGGUAACGGCCUACCAAGGCGAUGAUGCAUAGCCGAGUUGAGAGACUGAUCGGCCACAAUGGGACUGAGACACGGCCCAUACUCCUACGGGAGGCAGCAGUAGGGAAUCUUCCACAAUGGGCGCAAGCCUGAUGGAGCAACACCGCGUGAGUGAAGAAGGGUUUCGGCUCGUAAAGCUCUGUUGUUAAAGAAGAACACGUAUGAGAGUAACUGUUCAUACGUUGACGGUAUUUAACCAGAAAGUCACGGCUAACUACGUGCCAGCAGCCGCGGUAAUACGUAGGUGGCAAGCGUUAUCCGGAUUUAUUGGGCGUAAAGAGAGUGCAGGCGGUUUUCUAAGUCUGAUGUGAAAGCCUUCGGCUUAACCGGAGAAGUGCAUCGGAAACUGGAUAACUUGAGUGCAGAAGAGGGUAGUGGAACUCCAUGUGUAGCGGUGGAAUGCGUAGAUAUAUGGAAGAACACCAGUGGCGAAGGCGGCUACCUGGUCUGCAACUGACGCUGAGACUCGAAAGCAUGGGUAGCGAACAGGAUUAGAUACCCUGGUAGUCCAUGCCGUAAACGAUGAGUGCUAGGUGUUGGAGGGUUUCCGCCCUUCAGUGCCGGAGCUAACGCAUUAAGCACUCCGCCUGGGGAGUACGACCGCAAGGUUGAAACUCAAAGGAAUUGACGGGGGCCCGCACAAGCGGUGGAGCAUGUGGUUUAAUUCGAAGCUACGCGAAGAACCUUACCAGGUCUUGACAUCUUGCGCCAACCCUAGAGAUAGGGCGUUUCCUUCGGGAACGCAAUGACAGGUGGUGCAUGGUCGUCGUCAGCUCGUGUCGUGAGAUGUUGGGUUAAGUCCCGCAACGAGCGCAACCCUUGUUACUAGUUGCCAGCAUUAAGUUGGGCACUCUAGUGAGACUGCCGGUGACAAACCGGAGGAAGGUGGGGACGACGUCAGAUCAUCAUGCCCCUUAUGACCUGGGCUACACACGUGCUACAAUGGACGGUACAACGAGUCGCGAACUCGCGAGGGCAAGCAAAUCUCUUAAAACCGUUCUCAGUUCGGACUGCAGGCUGCAACUCGCCUGCACGAAGUCGGAAUCGCUAGUAAUCGCGGAUCAGCAUGCCGCGGUGAAUACGUUCCCGGGCCUUG
rnacentral:rRNA from 2 species